rfam:Danaus plexippus plexippus isolate F-2 unplaced genomic scaffold DPSCF300036, whole genome shotgun sequence.
AUCUAAGUGAUGAUCCCAUAGUUCAUCUGAUUAUUCUGAUGUACCUCUAGCCAUGUCUUUCGCUCCUAUCUGAUUUUAUAA